CAGUAGCCGCGGUAAAACGAAGGGUGCAAGCGUUACCCGGAAUUACUGGGCGUAAAGCGUGUGUAGGUGGUUGUUUAAGUCUGUCGUGAGAGCCCUGGGCUCAACCUGGGAAUUGCGAUGGAUACUGGGCGACUAGAGUGCGGUAGAGGAUAGUGGAAUUUCCGGUGUAGCAGUGAAAUGCGUAGAGAUCGGAAGGAACAUCUGUGGCGAAGGCGACUAUCUGGGCCAACACUGACACUGAGACACGAAAGCGUGGGGAGCAAACAGGAUUAGAUACCCGAGUAGUCCCUGUCUCUUAUAC
rnacentral:rRNA from 1 species